rnacentral:rRNA from 1 species
GACGAACGCUGGCGGCGUGCUUAACACAUGCAAGUCGAGCGGUAAGGCCCUUUCGGGGGUACACGAGCGGCGAACGGGUGAGUAACACGUGGGUGACCUGCCCUCAGCUCUGGGAUAAGCCUGGGAAACUGGGUCUAUACUGGAUAUGACUCCACGGUGCAUGUCGUGGGGUGGAAAGCCUUGUGCGGCUGAGGAUGGGCCCGCGGCCUAUCAGCUUGUUGGUGGGGUGAUGGCCUACCAAGGCGACGACGGGUAGCCGGCCUGAGAGGGCGACCGGCCACACUGGGACUGAGACACGGCCCAGACUCCUACGGGAGGCAGCAGUGGGGAAUCUUGCGCAAUGGGCGAAAGCCUGACGCAGCGACGCCGCGUGAGGG